rnacentral:rRNA from 1 species
GAUGAACGCUGGCGGCGUGCCUAAUACAUGGAAGUCGAGCGAACAGAUGAGGAGCUUGCUCCUCUGACGUUAGCGGCGGACGGGUGAGUAACACGUGGAUAACCUACCUAUAAGACUGGGAUAACUUCGGGAAACCGGAGCUAAUACCGGAUAAUAUAUUGAACCGCAUGGUUCAAUAGUGAAAGACGGUUUUGCUGUCACUUAUAGAUGGAUCCGCGCCGCAUUAGCUAGUUGGUAAGGUAACGGCUUACCAAGGCGACGAUGCGUAGCCGACCUGAGAGGGUGAUCGGCCACACUGGAACUGAGACACGGUCCAGACUCCUACGGGAGGCAGCAGUAGGGAAUCUUCCGCAAUGGGCGAAAGCCUGACGGAGCAACGCCGCGUGAGUGAUGAAGGUCUUCGGAUCGUAAAACUCUGUUAUUAGGGAAGAACAAAUGUGUAAGUAACUAUGCACGUCUUGACGGUACCUAAUCAGAAAGCCACGGCUAACUACGUG